CCUACGGGGGGCAGCAGUGGGGAAUAUUGGGCAAUGGAGGAAACUCUGACCCAGCAACGCCGCGUGAAUGAUGAAGGUCUUCGGAUUGUAAAGUUCUUUUUUAAGGGAAGAAGAAAGUGACGGUACCUUCGGAUUAAGCCUCGGCUAACCACGGGCAAGCAGCCGCGGUAAUACGUAGGAGGCAAGCGUUAUCCGGAAGGACGGGGCGUAAGGGGGGGGGAGGUGGUUGGACAAGUUGGUGGCGUAACUCCGGGGCUCAACCUCGGCACUGAAACCAAAACUGUCGGACUUGAGUGUAGGGGAGGCAAGUGGAAUUCCUAGUGUAGCGGUGGAAUGCGUAGAUAUUAGGAGGAACACCAGUGGCGAAGGCGAUUUGCUGGACUGUAACUGACACUGAGGCACGAAAGCGUGGGGAGCAAACAGGAUUAGAUACCCCUGUAGUC
rnacentral:rRNA from 1 species